GACGAACGCUGGCGGCGUGCUUAACACAUGCAAGUCGAACGGAAAGGCCCUGCUUUUGUGGGGUGCUCGAGUGGCGAACGGGUGAGUAACACGUGAGUAACCUGCCCUUGACUUUGGGAUAACUUCAGGAAACUGGGGCUAAUACCGGAUAGGAGCUCCUGCUGCAUGGUGGGGGUGGGAAAGUUUCGGCGGUUGGGGAUGGACUCGCGGCUUAUCAGCUUGUUGGUGGGGUAGUGGCUUACCAAGGCAUUGACGGGUAGCCGGCCUGAGAGGGUGACCGGCCACAUUGGGACUGAGAUACGGCCCAGACUCCUACGGGAGGCAGCAGUGGGGAAUAUUGCACAAUGGGCGGAAGCCUGAUGCAGCAACGCCGCGUGCGGGAUGACGGCCUUCGGGUUGUAAACCGCUUUCGCCUGUGACGAAGCGUGAGUGACGGUAAUGGGUAAAGAAGCACCGGCUAACUACGUG
rnacentral:rRNA from 1 species